AGAUGUGUUUCCAGUAGCAAGUGCACCUUCCAAGUUAGCAUUGCUCAAAUUAGCCUGCAAAGUCGUGCAUUAGGACAUCACCUGGAGCUGUAUCCUGAGAUACUGGAUUUGUAAGAUUAAAACUACAUGAGAUGCUAAUGAUCUAAGCUUGUCCAAGCCAUGUUUUGACGCAAUGACAGAUUGGCACCAUAAAUUACAUAUGAAUGCAACAAAUGGUGCAGCCAAGUUUGAAGGCACAUGUAGAAAAGUGCUAGCUCGUUGUCAUUUCAAAGUAUUCAAUCCCAAGACCCAAACUGGAAAAUAGCCUUUUCUACCGUUUCUUUAGUUCAUUGUCUCUGUGCAUUCAGAUGAACUACUUCCAAUCCUAUUAAUAGGCAUAGAGGACACUAGCUCUCUGAGAAGGUGUAAGAACUAAGAUCACCUUUGUGUAAGAACUAAGAUCACUUUUGUCACAUUUGCCAAUGAAAAA
rnacentral:misc_RNA from 1 species